rnacentral:rRNA from 1 species
UUGAACGCUGGCGGCAGGCCUAACACAUGCAAGUCGAGCGGUAGCACAGAGAGCUUGCUCUCGGGUGACGAGCGGCGGACGGGUGAGUAAUGUCUGGGAAACUGCCUGAUGGAGGGGGAUAACUACUGGAAACGGUAGCUAAUACCGCAUAAUGUCGCAAGACCAAAGUGGGGGACCUUCGGGCCUCAUGCCAUCAGAUGUGCCCAGAUGGGAUUAGCUAGUAGGUGGGGUAACGGCUCACCUAGGCGACGAUCCCUAGCUGGUCUGAGAGGAUGACCAGCCACACUGGAACUGAGACACGGUCCAGACUCCUACGGGAGGCAGCAGUGGGGAAUAUUGCACAAUGGGCGCAAGCCUGAUGCAGCCAUGCCGCGUGUGUGAAGAAGGCCUUCGGGUUGUAAAGCACUUUCAGCGGGGAGGAAGGCGAUAAGGUUAAUAACCUUGUCGAUUGACGUUACCCGCAGAAGAAGCACCGGCUAACUCCGUGCCAGCAGCCGCGGUAAUACGGAGGGUGCAAGCGUUAAUCGGAAUUACUGGGCGUAAAGCGCACGCAGGCGGUCUGUCAAGUCGGAUGUGAAAUCCCCGGGCUCAACCUGGGAACUGCAUUCGAAACUGGCAGGCUAGAGUCUUGUAGAGGGGGGUAGAAUUCCAGGUGUAGCGGUGAAAUGCGUAGAGAUCUGGAGGAAUACCGGUGGCGAAGGCGGCCCCCUGGACAAAGACUGACGCUCAGGUGCGAAAGCGUGGGGAGCAAACAGGAUUAGAUACCCUGGUAGUCCACGCCGUAAACGAUGUCGAUUUGGAGGUUGUGCCCUUGAGGCGUGGCUUCCGGAGCUAACGCGUUAAAUCGACCGCCUGGGGAGUACGGCCGCAAGGUUAAAACUCAAAUGAAUUGACGGGGGCCCGCACAAGCGGUGGAGCAUGUGGUUUAAUUCGAUGCAACGCGAAGAACCUUACCUGGUCUUGACAUCCACAGAACUUUCCAGAGAUGGAUUGGUGCCUUCGGGAACUGUGAGACAGGUGCUGCAUGGCUGUCGUCAGCUCGUGUUGUGAAAUGUUGGGUUAAGUCCCGCAACGAGCGCAACCCUUAUCCUUUGUUGCCAGCGGUUCGGCCGGGAACUCAAAGGAGACUGCCAGUGAUAAACUGGAGGAAGGUGGGGAUGACGUCAAGUCAUCAUGGCCCUUACGACCAGGGCUACACACGUGCUACAAUGGCAUAUACAAAGAGAAGCGACCUCGCGAGAGCAAGCGGACCUCAUAAAGUAUGUCGUAGUCCGGAUUGGAGUCUGCAACUCGACUCCAUGAAGUCGGAAUCGCUAGUAAUCGUAGAUCAGAAUGCCACGGUGAAUACGUUCCCGGGCCUUGUACACACCGCCCGUCACACCAUGGGAGUGGGUUGCAAAAGAAGUAGGUAGCUUAACCUUCGGGAGGGCGCUUACCACUUUG